rnacentral:misc_RNA from 1 species
AGAUUUUCAUUUUAGUUGCUGAUUUUGUUGUUCGUUUUCGUAUUCUAUUUCGGCCAAAGUUCAAAUUAUGUGCUAUACUUAAUAGGCAAAAAAAUAAAUCUUCCCACUUUUUUGCAAUCUGUAUUAUUUUUGCCUUCGAAUAAAAAGAGCAAAAAAUAUGUUUCGCAAACGCCGCCAAUGAAGCAGCAACAGUCGCUGCCACAACACAGCACUACACAGCCACAGUUUCAGAUAAACAAGGCCCACAACGUUGUCUCCAUACUAAAAACAGCAACGACAUCAGUCACGCAACAACAGUCCUCAACAGUCACAGCAGCAACAAAGCUAUGCAAAUGUUGUAAAUCGAGCGCCAGCUAUUUCAGCUGCAACCCAACAGCAGCAACAAUCGAUUGUCAUUUGCAGCGGUGGCAACAUAAUGACCGUCAGCAGUUGUCAAUUGAAUACGGGUGAUUUGAGCUCUGCUGCCAUCUAUAAUCUGACUGGACACAGACCACAAUUGACGGCUGGCAUCGACUCCAAUUGUCGCUAUUUGGCAGCGGAGUUGUCGUCGAAAGGUGUUGCAGUUUCGAAUAAUGGUACACAAGUAGGAGGCGGUGGUGGCGGUGCCGCAAGUGCCACAAAUAGCAACAGUGCCAGCAGCAGCAGCAUUAACGGUGCCAGCAACAAUCAGAGCCUCAUGACGCUAACAUUGGGCUCGAGCAGUGGCCCCUAUAUGCACGAGAAGAGCUUGUUGGGGGGCGUUGGAGUUGGCGUUGGCGUCACUUGUAUCGAUAGUAGAAAAUACGACUGUAAAAAUAAUAAUCUGCUGUCAAACAGCAGCUUCCAAACAGCCCAAGAGUAUGUGUCAUCGGGCAAUAACAGUGCUGGCAACACCCGUUCAAAUCAACAGAGUGGAAUAUUUCGGGGACCGCCGUCGACUGCGAAUGCGCCACGUGGCACGGGCGCCGUAGGGACCUCGCCACCUGCACAUGCCGGCAAUGUAUCCGAAUGUGGUGCUGCAACAGUACUCACAAUAUGGCCAGCGACAGCCGACGUUCCAAACGCCACAAAUACAAUAUGGACCUGCGCCCAUUCCCUACUAUCCGUAUCAAUAUAUCCCGUCGCUGCAGCAACAGCCUCCGCCGCCGCCACAGCAUUCGCGUAGCGGUGUUGCCACAAACGCUAGUGUCAAAAUCGGUGGCAACACGAUGCCUGUCCCGAGGCCUGUCUGGUCCCGGGGCUACAACGUCCCAACUGCAGCUGUUCACGGGCAGUGUACAGACCGGCGCGAAUACCGCGCUUGGCGUUAGCUCCACUGGUAGCGGGCAGGUCGGUGUACCGCCAAUGGUUAAUGUUGCAAGUGGUGGCAAUGGCGAGUAGGCGUCGCCAUCGGCACAGUUUGCAGAUCAUUCAUCCCGAAACGAAAAAGAAUAUUCUCGGAGAGCUGGAUAAGGUACCAAUUUGAAGUCAUUUCUGUUUGGUCGUGAACUUCCACCUAGGUUUGGAGUGCCGCCUAUCUAAAACAACUUCCGAUCUAUGGGUCACGGCACCCUGUUGUAACAUACGCAACAUCAUGCCGAGUCUAAACCUCUACCCGCAUUUGGGUGUCAAACCAUAGCCACCACGAUACUCCCCGAAGGGCCGCAACCAAAAACCAGGACGGAACUGAGUUCCGCGGGCUCCUGAUUACCAGUGGUACCGGAAACAAGCCUCCGGUCAGGCCUCGUACCCGUAGGGUACUCCCAAUUUAAACUCCAAACAGUUAGGGGUUGGUGGCCCCGGUGUUAUCGAUAUAUAGAGCAGGAGCAACAAGCAGGCGCUGUUGUUGGAACAACUGUAACUACGACAACAGCCGCCGUUGUCCAACCAAACCCAGAUGUCCCAAUCUGCAUUUCCCAGCCAGAUGCUGCUGGCAUCUGCCUAACGAAUAACAUGCUAACUCAAGGCCCGGACUCAAGAGCCAGUGCCCAGUUCAAAUUAGUUGUAUCGAGAUCAAAUUCCCGCUCACCGGCCAGAUAUUAUAAUGGGUCAGACCCCAGUGGUCUCAGCGAUGUCGGAUGCCCCAUCUGUAGAAAUAUUGCCGACGCCCCAAAAGACCAAGAGUAAAAAAAUCCCUAUAGUCUCUCCAAAAGAUAUCUCUGAUUCAUCUACAGCUUUUUCAUCUGUCAAAUUGGAUGAUGCAGAAGCAGCGAAAACAAACGUUAAAGCGACUGUCGAGAUUAAUCAACA